UACGUAGGGUGCGAGCGUUAAUCGGAUUUACUGGGCGUAAAGCGUGCGCAGGCGGCCCGUUAAGACAGGUGUGAAAUCCCUGGGCUCAACCUAGGAAUUGCGCUUGUGACUGGCGGGCUCGAGUACGGUAGAGGGGGGUGGAAUUCCUGGUGUAGCAGUGAAAUGCGUAGAGAUCAGGAGGAACACCGAUGGCGAAGGCAGCCCCCUGGCCCUAUACUGACGCUCAUGCACGAAAGCGUGGGGAGCAAACAGG
rnacentral:rRNA from 1 species